rnacentral:rRNA from 1 species
UAAGCCUUUGGGUACAAAAUUUAUUGCCCCAAGAUGAGCUCGCGUCUGAUUAGCUAGUUGGUGAGGUAAAAGCUCACCAAGGCAGCGAUCAGUAGCUGGUCUGAGAGGACGAUCAGCCACACUGGGACUGAGACACGGCCCAGACUCCUACGGGAGGCAGCAGUGGGGAAUUUUCCGCAAUGUGGCGAAAGCCUGACGGAGCAAGACCGCGUGAGGGAGGAAGGCUCUUGGGUUGUAAACCUCUUUUCUCAGGGAAGAAGCUCUGACGGUACCUGAGGAAUCAGCCUCGGCUAACUCCGUGCCAGCAGCCGCGGUAAUACGGAGGAGGCAAGCGUUAUCCGGAAUUAUUGGGCGUAAAGCGUCCGCAGGUGGCGAUUCAAGUCUGCUGUCAAAGCACGGGGCUUAACUCCGUUAAGGCAGUGGAAACUGAAUAGCUAGAGUGCCGUAGGGGUAGAGGGAAUUCCCGGUGUAGCGGUGAAAUGCGUAGAGAUCGGGAAGAACAUCGGUGGCGAAAGCGCUCUACUGGACGGCAACUGACACUCAGGGACGAAAGCUAGGGGAGCGAAUGGGAUUAGAUACCCCAGUGGUCCUAGCUGUAAAACGAUGGAUACUAGGUGUAGCUUGUAUCGAGCCCGAGCUGUGCCGAAGCUAACGCGUGUAAGUAUGCCCGCCUUGGGAGAAGUAACGCAACGCAAAGUUGUGAAACUCCAAAAGGAAUUGAGCGGGGGCCCGCACCAGCGGUGGAGUAUGUGGGUUAAUUCGAUGCAACGCGAAGAACCUUACCAGGGGUUUGACAUGUCCGGAAUCCCGGUGAAAGAUGGGAAUUGCACUUCGGGAGCCGGGAACACAGGCGGUGGCAUGCCUGUCGUCAGACUCGUGUCGAGAGAGGUUGGGUUAAGUCCCGCAACGAGCGCAACCUUCGUAUUUAGUAGCAAGCAUUAAGUCGGGCACUGAAGAGAGACUGCCGGUGACAGACCGGAGGAAGGUGGGGAUGACGUCAAGUCAGCAUGCCCCUGACGCUCUGGGAGACACACGUACUACAAUGGUCGGGACAGAGGGCAG